rnacentral:rRNA from 1 species
GACGAACGCUGGCGGCGUGCUUAACACAUGCAAGUCGAACGGAAAGGCCCUGCUUUUGUGGGGUGCUCGAGUGGCGAACGGGUGAGUAACACGUGAGUAACCUGCCCUUGACUUUGGGAUAACUUCAGGAAACUGGGGCUAAUACCGGAUAGGAGCUCCUGCUGCAUGGUGGGGGUUGGAAAGUUUCGGCGGUUGGGGAUGGACUCGCGGCUUAUCAGCUUGUUGGUGGGGUAGUGGCUUACCAACGCUUUGACGGGUAGCCGGCCUGAGAGGGUGACCGGCCACAUUGGGACUGAGAUACGGCCCAGACUCCUACGGGAGGCAGCAGUGGGGAAUAUUGCACAAUGGGCGGAAGCCUGAUGCAGCAACGCCGCGUGCGGGAUGACGGCCUUCGGGUUGUAAACCGCUUUCGCUUGUGACGAAGCGUGAGUGACGGUAAUGGGUAAAGAAGCACCGGCUAACUACGUG